rnacentral:rRNA from 1 species
UACGUAGGGUGCAAGCGUUGUCCGGAAUUAUUGGGCGUAAAGAGCUCGUAGGCGGUUUGUCGCGUCGAAUGUGAAAACCCGGGGCUCAACUCCGGGCCUGCAUUCGAUACGGGCAGACUAGAGUUCGGUAGGGGAGACUGGAAUUCCUGGUGUAGCGGUGAAAUGCGCAGAUAUCAGGAGGAGCACCGGUGGCGAAGGCGGGUCUCUGGGCUGACACUGACGCUGAUGCGCGAAAGCUAGGGGAGCGAACGGG